rnacentral:rRNA from 1 species
GAUGAACGCUGGCGGCGUGCCUAAUACAUGCAAGUCGAGCGAACAGACGAGGAGCUUGCUCCUCUGACGUUAGCGGCGGACGUGUGAGUAACACGUGGAUAACCUACCUAUAAGACUGGGAUAACUUCGGGAAACCGGAGCUAAUACCGGAUAAUAUAUUGAACCGCAUUGUUCAAUAGUGAAAGACGGUUUUGCUGUCACUUAUAGAUGGAUCCGCGCCGCAUUAGCUAGUUGGUAAGGUAACGGCUUACCAAGGCAACGAUGCGUAGCCGACCUGAGAGGGUGAUCGGCCACACUGGAACUGAGACACGGACCAGACUCCUACGGGAGGCAGCAGUAGGGAAUCUUCCGCAAUGGGCGAAAGCUUGACGGAGCAAAGCCGCGUGAGUGAUGAAGGUCUUCGGAUCGUAAAACUCUGUUAUUAGGGAAGAACAAAUGUGUAAGUAACUAUGCACGUCUUGACGGUACCUAAUCAGAAAGCCACGGCUAACUACGUG